rnacentral:lncRNA from 1 species
AUACUGUAACAUUUUAGUUUCCUAAAAGACAUUGAUGCCUGCAAAAUUGAAUAAAACACAGCUUAAAAACAUGUUUAGGGGUGGGGGUGGUGGCUGGAGAUAUGGCUCAGCGGUUAAGAGCACUGACUGCUCUUCCAGAGGUCCUGAGUUCAAUACCCAGCAACCACUUGGUGGCUCACAACCAUCUGUAAUGGGAUCUGAUGCCCUCUUCUGGUGUGUCUGAAGACAGCUACCAUGUACUUGUAUACGUAAAAUAAAUUAAUGUUUAAAAAAAAAAACAUGUUUAGGGGCUUGCUCCCACCUUUUAUUUUUAAAGCAGGACAUAUUGGUCUUGUUUUCCCACAGACCCCAUGGAACUCCUAACCUAGAGCUCCUCUAUGCACUGAGCCCUAUUCCUUGUCUUUGACAGCAAGUCGACUUCUCCUUUCUGUGUUCUUAGGAUGUUAUCAACUCGGUGGUAACAACACUAUUCAUGCUUAUUGUGUCUGUGUCGGCUCUAAUACCAGAAACCUCAACAAUGAUAAUGGUUGGAGGGGUGUUUGGUUUCCUGACAGUAAUAUGUACUGUUGCUGAUUGUGCCCUUAUGUGCCAGAAACUCCGGUUUCGUCCACAUGGACCUUAUCAGAACAGGUCUGCUACUGAUGUAGAUGACAGUUAAUUUUAUACUCAUUUUUACUAGUUAUUAAAUUCUUUAUACUUCC